AUACGGAGGAUCCGAGCGUUAUCCGGAUUUAUUGGGUUUAAAGGGUGCGCAGGCGGCCAUUUAAGUCAGCGGUUAAAUCGUGGGGCUCAACCCCAUUCUGCCGUUGAUACUGGGUGGCUUGAUUGCGGUCGAGGUUGGCGGAAUUCGUUGUGUAGCGGUGAAAUGCAUAGAUAUGACGAAGGACACCGAUUGCGUAGGCAGCUGACCAGACCGCAAAUGACGCUCAUGCACGAAAGUGCGGGGAUCGAACAGGAUUAGAUACCCUGGUAGUCCGCACAGUAAACGAUGAAUACUUGCUUUCGGCGAUAUAAUGUCGGAGGCAAAGCGAAAGCGAUAAGUAUUCCACCUGGGGAGUACGCCGGCAACGGUGAAACUCAAAGGAAUUGACGGGG
rnacentral:rRNA from 1 species